rnacentral:lncRNA from 1 species
UUGAAACCAAAAAGUUAGGAACCUUUAGGGGUGAAAUUAAAAAAGACUGUAUGUUGGCAGUCUCUACUAGAAAAUUUUGGAAAUAUAGAUGCUGGUUUGAGUAUAGUUGAGCUUUGAAUCUAGUUUGGUUGGAUUAAAACCAGUCAGUUCCUUAGUGUGGGGCACAAUGAUUGUAAAUGGGUGGAUGAUGCAUGGUUGAUAAUUGUGCAGGAAGGG